rnacentral:rRNA from 1 species
UACGUAGGGGGCUAGCGUUGUCCGGAUUUAUUGGGCGUAAAGAGCGUGUAGGCGGCCAGGUAGGUCUGCUGUGAAAUUUCGGGGCUCAACCCCGAACUUGCAGUGGGUACGGGCAGACUAGAGUGUGGUAGGGGAGACUGGAAUUCCUGGUGUAGCGGUGAAAUGCGCAGAUAUCAGGAGGAACACCGAUGGCGAAGGCAGGUCUCUGGGCCACUACUGACGCUGAGAAGCGAAAGCAUGGGGAGCGAACAGG